UACAGAGGUCUCAAGCGUUGUUCGGAAUUACUGGGCGUAAAGGGCUCGUAGGUGGCCAACUAAGUCAGACGUGAAAUCCCUCGGCUUAACCGGGGAACUGCGUCUGAUACUGGAUGGCUUGAGUUUGGGAGAGGGAUGCGGAAUUCCAGGUGUAGCGGUGAAAUGCGUAGAUAUCUGGAGGAACACCGGUGGCGAAGGCGGCAUCCUGGACCAACACUGACACUGAGGAGCGAAAGCCAGGGGAGCAAACGGG
rnacentral:rRNA from 1 species